UGAAGAUUUUGACAACCUAACCCCUUCUUUUGAUCACUGUCUCUACAAGGCAUCCAUUGAGGAAAAUCAGGUAGGACUCUUCUCAGACGUCACUCCUGAGCCCUUAAAAGCUCAAGAUGGCGACACGGGCAUCAACGAGCCUGUAGUUUACAGCAUAACGACAGUCGUUCCAAAUGAGUAUCAGAACAGCUUUGAAAUCGACCGAAACCGUGGGGUCAUCUCUGUGACGACGGCACUAGACAGAGAGCAAACAGGGCAGAUUGCUGUUUUCAUACAGGCAACUCAGCAGGAUGAUGCCAGUAAGACGGCUAAUGCUGUUGUACUCGUCACCAUUGUGGAU